CAUGCCCUCCGUUCCCUUCGUCGUUCUGUCCAGCAUCACCAGCACUGAAGUCAGCUUCUACCACCAUCAAGCCUGAAGGGAAGCGCCACUGCUAUUGCCCGACAGUAGCUUCCCCUGCGUUCCUAAUUCUCUUCUUGAAACUUGUUAUCGUCCUUAUCCGGAACCACUGAUGUCACCGCUAUAGAAGUGAUUGGGAUAGGCGCGAUUGUCAUUGUUGUUGCUGCCCCAGAAGAAGUGAGGCUGCUGCUGCUGUUCCGGCCGCAUUGGCUGUUGUAAACUGGGAAAAAGAAAGGAAUCGUUGCGUUUAAAUUCGACGGUUUCGACUAAUUGAGUGAUACAGGUUCGAAGAUUCAGUUUGAAGCUGCGGGCGAUUCUAGAAUUUAUUUAUG